rnacentral:tRNA from 1 species
UCCCUGGUGGUCCGGUGGUUAGGACUCUGAGCUUCCACAGCAGGGAGUCUGGUUCAAUCCCUGGUCAGGGAA